rnacentral:rRNA from 1 species
AUUGAACGCUGGCGGCAUGCCUAACACAUGCAAGUCGAACGGCAGCACAGUAAAGAUUUCGGUCUUUAUGGGUGGCGAGUGGCGGACGGGUGAGUAACGCGUAGGAAUCUGUCCUGGAGCGUGGGAUAACCCGAGGAAACUCGGGCUAAUACCGCAUGAUAUCGAGAGAUCAAAAGCAGGGGACCGAAAGGCCUUGCGCUCUGGGGUGAGCCUACGUCGGAUUAGCUAGUUGGUGGGGUAAAAGCCUACCAAGGCGACGAUCCGUAGCUGGUCUGAGAGGAUGACCAGCCACACUGGGACUGAGACACGGCCCAGACUCCUACGGGAGGCAGCAGUGGGGAAUCUUGGACAAUGGGGGCAACCCUGAUCCAGCGAUGCCGCGUGUGUGAAGAAGGCCUUCGGGUUGUAAAGCACUUUAGGUGGGGAAGAAAGGCAGUUGUUGAAUACGCAACUGUUAUGACGGUACCCGCAGAAUAAGCACCGGCUAACUCUGUGCCAGCAGCCGCGGUAAUACAGAGGGUGCAAGCGUUAAUCAGAAUGACUGGGCGUAAAGGGCGUGUAGGUGGUUAAUUAGGUUUGAUGUGAAAUCCCCGGGCUUAACCUGGGAAUUGCGUCGAAAACGGAUUAACUCGAGUGAGAUAGAGGGUUGUGGAAUUUCCGGUGUAGCGGUGAAAUGCGUAGAUAUCGGAAAGAACAUCAGUGGCGAAGGCGACAACCUGGAUCUUAACUGACACUGAGGCGCGAAGGCGUGGGGAGCAAACAGG